UACGAAGGGGGGCUAGCGUUGUUCGGAUUUACUGGGCGUAAAGGGCGCGUAGGCGGUGCGAUAAGUCAGGCGUGAAAGCCCCGGGCUCAACCCGGGAAUAGCGCUUGAUACUGUUGCGCUUGAAUCCAGGAGAGGAUGGCGGAAUUCCCAGUGUAGAGGUGAAAUUCGUAGAUAUUGGGAAGAACACCAGUGGCGAAGGCGGCCACUCUGGCCUG
rnacentral:rRNA from 1 species